rnacentral:lncRNA from 1 species
AGAAAUUUUAUUUUGGCCAGGAGCUGAAGUUGGUUGUUUAGUAGUAGUAGUUUGAGUAGUGACCGAAGUAGUAGUCUGGUGCAAGAGUAGUUGGGGAAGAAUUAGGUGUGGUAAUUGGGGCAGCUGUGGUCUCUUGUGGAGCUGGGGAAGACGGUGGAGCUGGUGUAGUUGCAGAAGGUGUGGGUGGGACAGCUGUGGUCUCUGGUGGAGCUGAGGAAGAUAGUGGAGCUGGUGUAGUUGCAGAAGGUGUGGGUGGGGCAGCUGUGGUCUCUGGUGGAGCUGAGGAAGAUGGUGGAGCUUGUGUAGUUGCAGAAGGUGUGGGUGGGGCAGCUGUGGUGUCUUGUGGAGCUGGGGAAUUCACUGGUGCUAAUGUAGGGUUGACCACACUGCUAUUUUUAUCUGGAUGUUUAGGUGGCUGGUGAGGAUUUGGGAAUUUGGGGGGGUU